AACGCAUCUUGCGCUCCUUGGUAUUCCAAGGAGCAUGCCUGUUUGAGUGUCAUUAAAUUCUCAACCUUUCUGGCUUUUUGUUAAGGUGGAUAGGCUUGGAAUUGGGAGUUUGCAGGCUUCUGUUACAAGAAGUUGGCUCUCCUUAAAUGCAUUAGCAGAACUCAUGUUGACCAGCUCUGGUGUGAUAAUUAUCUACAUCAUUGUGUGAUACAGUUAUAGUUUAGCUUACAAACAGUUCCUCUAAGGAACAAUUCUUGACAAUUUGGCCUCAAAUCAGGUAGGACUACCCGCUGAACUUAA
rnacentral:misc_RNA from 1 species